rnacentral:tRNA from 1 species
GGGCGACCAGGCUGUCGGGGCCGGGCAGCGCGUCCUUGCCGAGGAUGCCGAUCCGGUGGCUGCCGUAGCGGUCGGCGAGCUGCUCG